CAUUCAAUCAUCCCCAAUUCGCAGCAACUGAUUUACUUCACUCAUCCACUGGUAACUUUAAUUAUUUUGUAAAGUUAUGCAAUUUUAUUCCAGCACAUCAAUGAUUUCUUCAUUGUUUUCAUAUCUGCCCAAAACCAAAACUUUACAACAGAAUUAUGUUUUCAAAUCAAAACAUGCAUACAUCGAUUUUCUGAAAUUUCCAUAAGGAAAUAGAAUUAGUGUUGAAAGAAAUGGAGAAUUAAGGAGAAGUGGAAGGAAGGAAGAGAUGAGGGAAGACUGUAGUCGGAAGAGGGAAGCAGGAGGCGGCGGCGGCGACCUGCCCACUGCUGCUGCCUGGCAUGGCGGCGGCGAUGGCAGCCGUUUCUGCCGGCCGAAGGAAAGAGAGGGCGCCAGAUCUGGAAUAAGGAGGCGGCAGCUUCGGCCUCGCCGAUGGCUGUUCGGCUAAGGAAGAGAGAGAAAGGAGGGGCGGCGGCUGGGCUGUGCUGCUGUCGACACAGAGGCGGCGAUGGCGGUGCUGCUGCUAGCCGGGCGAGCGACAGGGGAGAAGCGUGGUUGUGGCGGUGGCUGGCGGAGGUGUCACCGGAGAAGGGUGGACGCUGCUGUUGGGUGCGGUGGGGGAAGAGUGAGAGAGAGACUAGAGGUGAGGAAGGGAGAGAGGUCGAAGGGAAGGAGAGAUGAGGCGGAGCCGCCGGCCUCCGGGGACGGCACUGCCGUCCGGUGGCGGCGGCAGGAGGGCACAGAGAGCGAGAGAGAGUGAGCGGCAAAGAGGGAGAAGGGAAAUGGGAGCUGCGUGAGUUUUGUGAGCAAUUAGGGUGAGUGUGAUUAAAUUGGGGUGAAGGGAAGUAUGGGCUUGGGCUUGGGCUUGAGCUGUGUUUUAUGGGCUCAGAUAUAUUUAAAUUUAUUGGACUCUAGUUUGAUUAAAUAUUGGAUUAAUAUAUAUUAUCAUAUGGACUUCAUAUUUUAAAUUUUCAUUAUUACAUUGGACCUGUUUUUAUUAAAACCCAACUCAAAAGAUGCAUGCAUUUUUAUUAUUUAUUAGACCAAUUAUUUUUCAAAUGAUUUUGAAGGUUUUAUAAAAUUUUCUUAAUUUUAAAUAUUUUUUCAAAUUUAAUUAGGCCCUUAUAUUUUAUUAUUUGAAUUUAUCUGACUAGGUGCGGCGCGACUAGGACGUUACUUUU
rnacentral:lncRNA from 1 species